rnacentral:rRNA from 1 species
UACGUAGGGGGCAAGCGUUGUCCGGAAUUAUUGGGCGUAAAGCGCGCGCAGGCGGUUCCUUAAGUCUGAUGUGAAAUCUCGGGGCUCAACCCCGAGCGGUCAUUGGAAACUGGGGAACUUGAGUACAGAAGAGGAGAGUGGAAUUCCACGUGUAGCGGUGAAAUGCGUAGAUAUGUGGAGGAACACCAGUGGCGAAGGCGACUCUCUGGUCUGUAACUGACGCUGAGGCGCGAAAGCGUGGGGAGCGAACAGG